UGGGGAAUAUUGCGCAAUGGAGGGAACUCUGACGCAGCUAUGCCACGUGAGUGAAGAAGGCCUUAGGGUUGUAAAACUCUUUCAAUUGUGAGGAUGAUGACAGUAGCAAAAGAAGAAGCCCCGGCUAACUUCGUGCCAGCAGCCGCGGUAAUACGAAGGGGGCUAGCGUUGUUCGGAAUUACUGGGCGUAAAGGGCGUGUAGGCGGAUAUAUAAGUCAGGGGUGAAAUCCCGAGGCUCAACCUCGGCAUUGCCUUUGAGACUGUUUAUCUAGAGAUCGUGAGAGGAUAGCGGAAUACCCAGUGGAGAGGUGAAAUUCGUAGAGAUUGGGUAGAACACCGGUGGCGAAGGCGGCUAUCUGGCACGAUACUGACGCUAAGGCGCGAAAGCGUGGGGAGCAAACAGG
rnacentral:rRNA from 1 species